rnacentral:rRNA from 1 species
UGGGGAAUAUUGGACAAUGGGCGCAAGCCUGAUCCAGCCAUGCCGCGUGAGUGAUGAAGGCCCUAGGGUUGUAAAGCUCUUUCACCGGUGAAGAUAAUGACGGUAACCGGAGAAGAAGCCCCGGCUAACUUCGUGCCAGCAGCCGCGGUAAUACGAAGGGGGCUAGCGUUGUUCGGAUUUACUGGGCGUAAAGCGCACGUAGGCGGACUAUUAAGUCAGGGGUGAAAUCCCGGGGGUCAACCCCGGAACUGCCUUUGAUACUGGUAGUCUUGAGUUCGGGAGAAGUGAGUGGAAUUCCGAGUGUAGAGGUGAAAUUCGUAGAUAUUCGGAGGAACACCAGUGGCGAUGGCGGCUCACUGGCUCGAUACUGACGCUGAGGUGCGAAAGCGUGGGGAGCAAACAGG